GUGGGGAAUCUUCCGCAAUGGACGAAAGUCUGACGGAGCGACGCCGCGUGAGUGAAGAAGGCCUUCGGGUCGUAAAGCUCUGUCAUCAGGGACGAAUGGCCGGUGGAGUGGAAAGCCACCGGAUUGACGGUACCUGAGAAGGAAGCCACGGCUAACUACGUGCCAGCAGCCGCGGUAAUACGUAGGUGGCAAGCGUUGUCCGGAAUUAUUGGGCGUAAAGCGCGCGCAGGUGGGAUCUUAAGUCCAUUUUGAAAGUUCGGAGCUCAACUCCGUGAUGGGAUGGAAACUGGGAUUCUUGAGUACCGGAGAGGAAAGCGGAAUUCCCCGUGUAGCGGUGAAAUGCGUAGAUAUGGGGAGGAACACCAGUGGCGAAGGCGGCUUUCUGGACGGUGUCUGACACUGAGGCGCGAAAGCCAGGGGAGCGAACGGGAUUAGAAACCCUAGUAGUCC
rnacentral:rRNA from 1 species